UACAGAGGUGGCAAGCGUUGUUCGGAAUUACUGGGCGUAAAGGGCGCGUAGGCGGCCAUCUAAGUCAGACGUGAAAUCCCCCGGCUUAACCUGGGAACUGCGUCUGAUACUGGACGGCUUGAGUAUGGGAAAGGGAUGUAGAAUUCCAGGUGUAGCGGUGAAAUGCGUAGAUAUCUGGAGGAAUACCGGUGGCGAAGGCGGCAUCCUGGACCAUUACUGACGCUGAGGCGCGAAAGCUAGGGGAGCAAACGGG
rnacentral:rRNA from 1 species